UGGCUUCAAGUCUUGAGCUUCUGGAUUUGUUGUCAAAAGAUAUAACCAUCCAGUUCAUAUGUUCCUGCUGGUUAUCAUACUCGUCCUCCAAUUCUUUUGACUCAUUUUGUAAAUUGCUAAAUAUAUACAUAUAUAUAUACAUAUAUAUAUAGAUAUGUUAUAAAGAAAUGCAGCCCAAGAUAUGAUUGGAAGUAGUAUUAAUAAUAAUAAAAAUCUAGUAAGGUGUACAUACAUUAAAAUUCUCAUAUUUGCCAUAAACUCUGCAAAUUUAAUAUUAAUUUCACCAUCAGUAGUUUGAGCAUGAAUUGUGGCAAUUCUUAAAUCAACUUCUUGACAGUAGCUUUCCAAGUUGUUGAACAUUUUUAAAUAUAUCCCAAGUGUUAGGUGGAGCCCUGGUAUAGCCACCUAUAUAAAAAGUAAUAAAAAAUAGGUUUGCUGAAUUUUCAUAACAUUGCACGAAGUACAUUAUACUUACUUGUUCUAGGGGGAUGUUAAAGAAGCAAUCAUGUAUCACAUUUUGAUAGUGUUUGGCGUUUUU